UACGAAGGGGGCUAGCGUUGCUCGGAAUUACUGGGCGUAAAGCGCACGUAGGCGGAUCUUUAAGUCAGGGGUGAAAUCCUGGAGCUCAACUCCAGAACUGCCUUUGAUACUGGGUAUCUUGAGUAUGGAAGAGGUAAGUGGAAUUGCGAGUGUAGAGGUGAAAUUCGUAGAUAUUCGCAGGAACACCAGUGGCGAAGGCGGCUUACUGGUCCAUUACUGACGCUGAGGUGCGAAAGCGUGGGGAGCAAACAGG
rnacentral:rRNA from 1 species